CUUUGUCUUCCAUUGCACGGCAGGCCAGCACCAUAAAUCAAUUCAGACCGCUUCGCAAGUUUUGCCAGUUACCUCGAAGAUACGCGCGUCAAUAUAUAAUAUGCCAGAGCUACUUUUUUCUUCUUUUUCUAUUUUUUCUUUAUUUCUCUCUUUCUUUUCUUGCUUGACAUCAGACCCGAGUGUGUUCUAAACCACUUUAUUUGAACUCUGAGUCAUAAAAUUUGAGAUGUUUUCAUUGAUGAGGGAAGAAAAACUUUUUUUCAAUUAGGUAGAUAGGGCAUAUGAACAUUGACAUGUUAAAAUAAUGAACAUAUCUAAACUAAGUAUCGAAUUAUCGGAUUAUCACUAAAAGCCCCUAUCGAAAGUUUUUUAUUGAUUAAAUAUGUACUUUGCAUAGCAUCUAGUACCGGACGGACAUAUCUAACAAGUAUCCGUAGUUCUAGAAACCGUGCGAGCUUUGUUAAAAGGCUGAGGAGGAAAAAGGGAAAAAAAAUAAAAAUCGACAGGUAAUCACAAGUCAUGAGGGGAGUUCUCACUUUCUAAAAAGUAAAUAAAUUAAAGGCGGGGGAAGUUAGCUGUGCUCGACGCCUUGGAAGUUAACGUGUCUCGAAAUUUUGAAAUGGGUUCCGACUUUAAAAGAGCGAGAAAAGGUCAGCCAAAUUCGAAAUGUCUUGACGGACAAGAGGAGUGGACAGAAAUCUUAACCGGGAACAUUUCCAGGAUGCAGUGAGAAAGAAAGGAACCGCCAGGGGGACCCCGCUCCUCAUGCUAAACGUUCCCUACGUCACAUAGGGUUCUCCGUCGUCUUUUGCUUUUCCAAUUUUGUGGGGCCCACGGAGCGCUUAUUGCGUGGUUCGCUAGCAGAACGUGCUAUUUCCGCAUCUACCCGUGCUCCGUCCGCAUAUCGCAUUUGUGCAUUUUCGUCAAGCCCACAGGGAGAAGGAAGCACCGUGGGGUCGUUCGUCUCCUCUUCCAUCUGCAUCUUCGUCUCUAGCGUCUCCACUCCGUGCGAAAGAGCGGCAAACCCGACAGGAGGUUCGAGAUAGGGAUGGGAGGGAAUACCGUCGGAGGAGGGAAGAGCAAGCGGCGGCGGCGGCGGCGGCGGAGGAGGAGGAGGAGGAUUCCAGAAACGCCAGAUACGCUACCCUCCGGCGACCGAAAACGGGCAACGGGAAGGCCCAGCGCCACCACUUGCCAUCCAUACAAAUCCUGCAGGUGAAGGUUCGAGAGCCAAACUAGACAGGCCAACGGCAUAGCUGGGAACAUCCACGCUUCAACUCCGGCUCUAUGAUGGACGUUUUGAGGAACCAUAACCCCCAAUACCACAAGCAUUGGAGCUUGAAGUACGGCCAUGUUCUGUCUUUGUGGGCUCGAGCCCACACCCAACUUUGCUCUUCCAAAGGCCCAAUUGGUCCCAGUACCGGCCGUGGCCGAUCUUCUACCUAUGUGGGCUCGAGAGCCCACACUGAACUUUGCUCUUCCAAAGGCCCAAUUGAUCCCAGUCCCCUUCGACUCCCGCCACGGGCCACGGCCGAUCUUCUAUCUCUGUGGGCCCGAGUCCAUCACGGGGUUCAUUGUCCCAGAGCAAGGUAGGUUGGGCCAGAUAGAAGAUCGGCCGUGGCCCGAAUCCACACUGAACUUUGCUCUUCCAAAGGCCCAAUUGAAACACUGGCCGGGCGAGAGAUGGCCCAUCCAUCCGUAAUUAUACAAUAUUGGAUUUCCACUCGGUUUUGGGAGGGAGGUUCCGCUUUCGAUUCUGGAUUUUUCAGGAACCGCCAGUUGGGAACCGGAACCGGAACCGGACCGUGAUUCCCCCCUGUAUAAAAAGGUGAAGCCCUAACCUUGCAAUCCUCUGCUUUUGCAUUCCGGUUGCUUCCAGAUCUGUUCCUUUUUAUCCUUUCCCCAUCGGCGAGUUCGGGCGAUCGGGACUCGGGAGUCUGUUGCUGCAAGUUCUCCGAUCUUCAGAGCUGCAAACGCUUCGCUUGUCCUUCUUAUCUCUGUCGUUGUCCAUGCUCUCUGCGAUCUUCCAUCAUUGGCGCUCCCUGUACAGUGUACACCCUUUCGGGCAGAUCACAAGGUAGCUAACGCCGACCAAAGAUGAUGAAGGGACGUGCUUGGCUACUACUAGGCGUUGUCACAAUAUGGUAUGUUGGAACUGCCGCUGCUUUGUCUGGCAAUGGAACUGUCGUAGUCUAUAAUUCCACAAAAAAAAGAUUUACGCAAGGGUGGUUGAGAAAAGUUCCAGCGCUGGAAGCAUCGACUAUGCAGUCCUACCGAACGGCAGCAAGUACAUUUCCUUUGAACAAGGCAAGGAUUAUGCUCUAUUUUUUGCCAGUGGCUGCUCCGAGGACAAGGAUGGUCAUCUAAAGGAUUGUCACAGCGGAAAUUGCCCUGAGAGUGUUUGCACUGCAGAGCAUCCCCCAGAUGCUGCCACCAUGAUUUAUUAUAAGGACGGCAGUUUGAACACCAGCACGGCGCUUGGCUACAACUUUGGCCUCCAUGGAGUUUUCCAGUGUAAUCGUAAGUGCACCCCCAUUUCCUGUAUUAUUCCCCUCAACAAAUGUCCGUCUUCGACGAUAUUGGAAGAGUCAGGAUUGCCCGUGGCAUGCAAGAUGGGGGUCGGCGUACCCUCUUGCCAAGACGACACCACUGCACCUAGUUUUUAUUCUCCUCCUCCAGCAGGCACCAGUUGCUUCGAUGGUGCAAUUAUGAAGAUCACGGUGAGUUCACCACCGAAGUGAACUCUUGUAAAUUUUUUUUUUUUUUUUUGGUCGGUGAUUUUUUGUAAUUUCAUAACGGGAUUUUAUAGGGGAGAUUUCUGAGGAGCAAUUUCAAUUUUAGUAUAUAAGAACGUUUUCAAUUUUGCUCGUCUUGUAAUUAUUUUGACCUCUUUGUAUCGCGUUCUCGUCGAUCUUUCUUCUC